rnacentral:rRNA from 1 species
AGCAAUGGAUUUUGGGACUCUACCGCUUCAUUGGGUUGUACAUGAGCAUGGGUUCGCCUGUGAAUUCUGUCUACCCUCUUUUACUUUGAGGAAAUCAAGGUGUUCAUAGCAGUCGAUUGACUGGAUAGUUUAGCAUGGGAUAAUAGAAGAUGGCAAGCUGCCGUAUCUAUGGUUCUUGAUGGCAUUUUUUGCAAUGAUCAAUGGGAGUGAAUGGGGCUGCCGGUAUUACGGAGCUAGAGGUGAAAUUCUAUGAUUUCCGUAGGACCAACAAAUGCGAAAGCAUCCAGCCAGUGCAUGUCCGUCGAUCAAGAACGAAGGGAGUGGUAUCGAAGAUGAUCAGAUACCGUCGUAGUCACUCCAGUAAACGAUGAUGGCUCGAGGCGGAAGGGCUGUAACGUCAAAAUUGCACUUUUCCGAAUCGUAAGAGAAAUCAAAGCAUUCUAUCUCCGGGGGGAGUAUGGCCGCAAGACUGAAACUUAAAGGAAUUGACGGAAGGGCACCACCAGGCGUGGAACCUGCGGCUUAAUUUGACUCAACACGGGAAAACUUACCGGGUCCGGACAUAGUGAGGAUUGACAGGCUGAGAGGUCUUUCUUGAUUCUGUGGGUGGUGGUGCAUGGGCCGUUCUUAGUUGGUGGAUUGAUUUGUCUGUUUAAUUACGAUAACGAACGAGACGAUCACGAGAAAAUAGGCGAGAAAAUGGAAACAUUUUCUUUUGCCUUCUCUCUCGGAUCGAUGG